AGAAUAAAAUUGAUAACAUUCUGCUUUGAUCUCCUAAUCAGUGACUGUUUGAUGUCGGGAAAAAGUUGGCCUUAAGUUAAUUAGAAAUGUAAAAUUUAAUAUUUCACUCUUUGCACCCCCUUAUCACAAAAAUGUUCUUACAAAGUCCAUCUACUCAGUUUAGACUACUAAUGACAAACACAGCAGGGAGAAAACUCUCCACAGAUUGUUCAACUAGUUUUUUAAAUCCCCAUAUUCUCCAGAAUAGUUGUCCCCAUCAUUUCUUAGUACAAAUAAGAAUAAAAAACAUUUAAGUUGUCCGGCAUUAACAAUGGCAGCAGAGAGGUUGUCAAUCAGUUUCACUGUGUGCAGCCCACACAGUCCUGAGCAGAGGUCUAAUUAGGCAGACUAAGUGAAAACACCUGCUACAGUGAACCAUGUUCCUGCAGGGCAGUAAAACGGAAACUCUACAGCCUUGUUCCUCAUUAGUACGAGGAAAAAAAGAAGAAAUUUCCAGAAAUGCGAACUACUUUGAAAAAUUAUUCAUGGACUGCUGAAGCAGUUUGUGAAAGCAGGCAGUGUUUAAUAGGAUUUUUACCAACAGUAGUUUGGAGAGUUUCAACCCACUUCAAACACAUAAGCAUUUGAUAAUGACGAGGCGGCGGGUCUCCUCCCAUCACCAGGCCGAGAGGCACCGCACCCACCCACUGCUUGGAGCGAACGCACUGCAGACAGUCCAUGAUCCAGCGGGCAUCUCUCCACACCACAUCCAGACGCUGAGGAAAAAGGGAAAGUUAAAGGUUCACCUUGAGCUGCUCGUAGAGCAUGUCCAUGGCAGUGGGCUCGGGCAGCAGAGGUGUUCGGCUGCGGU